rnacentral:rRNA from 1 species
UACAGAGGUGGCAAGCGUUGUUCGGAAUUACUGGGCGUAAAGGGCGCGUAGGCGGUUCGUUAAGUCCUGUGUGAAAUCUCCCAGCUUAACUGGGAAACUGCCAUUGAAACUGUUUAUCUUGAGUACAUUUGAGGCGGGCGGAAUGUGUCAUGUAGAGGUGAAAUUCUUAGAUAUGACACAGAACACCAAUUGCGAAGGCAGCUCGCUAAACUGUAACUGACGCUGAGGCACGAAAGCGUGGGGAUCAAACAGG